rnacentral:rRNA from 1 species
AACGUAGGACGCAAGCGUUAUCCGGAGUUACUGGGCGUAAAGCGCGGGCAGGCGGCUCGAAACGUCUGAUGUGAAAUCUCCUCGCUCAACGGGGAGAGGCCAUUGGAAACGGUCGAGCUGGAGGGCAGUAGAGGUAGGCGGAAUUCCGGGUGGAGUGGUGAAAUGCGUAGAGAUCAGGAAGAACACCGGUGGCGAAGGCGCUCUGCUAGGCCGCAACUGACACUGAGGGACGAAAGCUAGGGGAGCGAAUGGG